rnacentral:lncRNA from 1 species
UCAGGCUCUCUGUUGAGUAUUUCACAUGUGAGAAUGAAGGAAGGAAGGAAGGACCAUCAAAAAAUGAGCACCAAGAAUAUGAAAAUCAUCUGAAUGAAUAGUAGGUCUCAUCUUAAACAAAAUUAUGCAUGAAAUCUUUUUGUUUACAUAAAAUUUAGGGGAAAGUUUCAAAAUCAGUAUCACAUGAUUCACCUAACUUGCAAACCAGGGAAAAACUCAAGUUUUGUGGGUAAACUACCAAGAGCAAAGCUUGGGAAAGACCAUCCAGGAUAAAACAGUAAAGUGCUAACAGUAGCUGAGCGAAAGAGAUGGGAGGCCUAGGGUAAAUGUGCAUUUUACUCAGAUUUUCAAAAAAAACUAAUUCUGGAUAUACUAUUUUGUGAACUACAUUUUCCACUCAGCACAUCUUGAUCAUCUUAUUACAUCAUCAAAUGUUCCUCUGCAACACUUGAAAAAAGUGGUUGCAAGAAUUCCAUUGCAUGUGUGUACCACUGCUUAUUUAAUUCUUCCUCUAAGAUUGGGCCACUUAAAUGUUAGAUUACCUCCGAUUUUUCACUAUUAUUCACUUGUAGCUAAAUCUUUGCAGUUGUCCUUAAUUAUUUGCUUAGAGUAAAUUUAAUAUAUUGAAGGGAUCAAGUUAUAGGGAUCAAUAUUUCCAACUGUAUUUCAGAAGAACAUGGAUUCGCAUGUAUUUUAUCUGGGCCUGAGAUCAUAUCCUUCUUUUAAUUCACAAAGCACAAAGCUAACAACUUCAAAACAUGUAAUUGCAUUAACAACACUUAGCAUUUUAAUUUACUUUCACUGAGUUUCUUUAACAUUUCUUCAUCUUGCCUCAAUCAAAGCAGAAAAAUGUUAGCAAUGUUAAAUCAAAAGAAAUUAUAAGGGAGCGAUCUGGGAAUGGCAGGACCUUGGUUUAUGGUACAUUCCUGACAGUGAAUAUUUAAAAUACUUGUCAUGAUAGUUCUCCAAAUUCUGAAGAGUCUUUAAACAUAUGCAACUGAGUGAUAAAUCUUACAAAGCAAUCUUGGACCUCUAUGCUAUGUUUCCAAGAAAAAUCUCUAGUUUUUGAGAAUAGUAAGCAUUUUAAAAGGUCAAAACUGAAUUAUUUUUGACCUCUUACCUCCUAAAAGGGAAACCAGGCCACUUGAUGUCUUGUAUGGUCCAAAGAGGAAAGGGCUUCUAAAAUUAGUAUGAAGCCAGUCCUACUGUGACAUAAUAAUGAAUAGAAUCACUGAUUUCAUAAACAAUAGGACUUAGGGUCUAUGGGAAAGUCAGCUUGGCUGACAUUCUUAGAGGGAAAUUUCCUCCAAAGUCAAUGCUAGAAACAAAAGAUGAGGAGCCGCAAUAUUCCCACCUAAUGGAAAUCUUACUUUACAGGAUGCAUUUCAGCAGUCGCCUUUCUUAAAGGGCAAAACAUCUCAGAUACUGAAAUGCCAUAGGACACAGUAAAAAACAGUACAGCUAAUGAAUCUCAUUAAAUAGCUUUGUCUAGUAUUGCUAUUUGCAAUGCCAGGCCUUCUGGCAUGUCAGUCAUGACCUUGAAAAACUUUAUAAAAAAAAAAUUAUCCCAGGAGUUCUCGUUGUGACUCAGUGGUAAUGAACCUGACUAGUAUCCAUGAGGAUGUGGGUUUGGUCCCUGGCCUCGCUCAUCAGGUUAAGGACCUGGCAUUGCCAUGAGCUGUGGUUCUAGAUGCAGCUUGGAUAUGGUGUUGCUGUGGCUCUGACAUAGGCCAGCAGCUGCAGCUCUGAUUCAACCCCUAGCCUGGGAACUUCCAUAUGCUGCAGGUGCAGCCCUAAAAAUGCAAAGAAAAAAAAAAGUGACCCCAAUCUCAGAAAACACUAAUAGAUCCACAAUCUGUAAAACCCUCUCUGCUGUCUUUAAUCUUUCAAACCUGCAUAUUGUCAGAUGAAUAAAUCUAAUCAACUGGCAAAGCCCUUAAGAUGUAUUUGGAUCUUUUAAAAUAGAAUCUAAUAAUUAAGGGAUCUGGGAAGGGAAAAAAACCGAGACAUCAACUUGUCUCAAAAAUGUUAUCCUGUUUUUAUGUUUCUAAUAAAAUUUGGUUCCAGAGAUGCUAUCAGAAGAAGUAAAGAAGUAGCUUUAACAGUACUCUUGAGCAUUUGGGAGUUUUUAUUUGCUUUGUUGUUGUUGUUGUUUUGAGUUUAGGAUGUUUUGUUUUGUUUUGCUUUGCAAGUUCAGGUAUUUUAACUGUGGUUGUUCUUCCAAAAUGGUAGUUCUUCUCCACUUCGGCCACUGCUUCAAGUCAUUGGAUAUCAUGUUUUGAACAACAUCUAGCACAGACCAAAAGGUUUAUGAAAUGACCACUGCUCAAACUUCAUGAAAUGGAGCAUUAAGACCCACUAGGGAGCUGGAGGUUGUCCAUCAAUGUUUUUCAGCAGUUUUGUUUCUGGUGUUUCUGCUCAUUUUUCUCAGGACAUUCUCUUUACAAUCUUUGACUAUGAUUCUUUGAAGACCUUCCCUUUGAAUCCCUAAGGUAACUAAGUUUCUGAAACAUUUGCUACAUUAAUUAAUGCCACUCAAAUAGAGAUUAAAUUGCCCCAGGUUCCUAGUCAAAUGGAGACUCUUCCCCUUGAUGGGUCACCAAAAAAAGGAAUAGAAGCAAGUGUACACACAUGCAAAAAUACCCAUCAAUUCCAGAACUACUCACAACACAGUCCCAGAAAGCUGUCUUGUUACUAAAAGAUCCUAAAUGAAAAUAUUUUUUAAAAAAAGGUUUUCAAAAAAUAGGGUAAAGCUUGAACUUUGGAGAGCAGGCUCCGACAAGAUCUGUUUACAGCAUGCUGUUAUCUUAUGGGUUGGCACACAGACCAAGGAUGAUCUGACGUGAGAAUCUCAGGAAUGCUAUAGCUCAGGCUCAUGGAGGCACUUUGGCAGAAAGCCCCAAACACAUGAAAGUUCUAUUGUCACGAUCAUGAUCUCACUGUGGGAACACUCAAUGUCAGGUGCCACAUUUGAAACAAAAAGUAAAAAGUAUGCUUCUCUGAACUAAUAGUGCAGAACUUUAUGGACCAUGACGUGCUUCAACCCAGAGAAUCAUGACCAAUUUAGUAGAGCAGGAAGAGGUCAUUUUCCAAUCAUUGAAUUCUAACAGAAUUCCCUAAAGAGCAGAAAGGAACUAUGCUGUGUUUCCCUGCAAACAAAGUAGAGUGGUCAAGGAUGUUAAAGCACUCAGGACUGAGUCUUGGCACACAGAGAAAAUAAAGAAGUGUGGAAGUGGAGAUAAAGGCAUUCUUAAAGGUGGGGUGGAGUCUCAGGGGGCGAAAAUAAAGGAAAUAUUUAAAAUAGUGCAUCCAUGGGCCAGGUACACCAUGUCUCCACCUGCUCUGCAACUCAGUAAAUGCUUAUUGCCUUGAAUUAAUAUGCACCUUACUUCUAUAAUGCAGUCCAGAACUUAAUUAGCUAGUCCAUGCAAGCCCUUAGGAAAGAAGGUCAUUUUUUUUUUUUUUUUUUUGCUUUUUAGGGCCACACCCAUGGCAUAUGAAGGUUCCCGGGCUCAGGGUCCAAUCGGAGCUAUAGCUGCUGGCCUACACCACAGCCACAGCAACACCAAAUCCGAGCUGCAUCUGUGACCUAGACCACAGCUCACAGCAACGCCGGAUCCUUGACCCACUGAGUGAGAUCGGGAUCAAACCCAGAAUUUCAUGGUUCUUAGUUGGAUACGUUUCCACUAUACCAUGAAGGGAACUCCUCAUUCUUAAUGUACUUCCAUUUUUUGUGUGGAGAACCAGAGACAUGAAAUGGUUAAGUGACAUCCGUAGGUCACCCUAUGAGUUAGAGGCAGAGCCAAGAUGAGAGCCAGAUGCACAAACGCCCACCAGCCACCACUGAUCUGGUCAGCCACUGAUCUUGUCAGUCAAGGCCAGUUGCUGAGGAGACAGGAAUUUUAAGAUAAACAGAAUUUGAGGUCUAGACUCAGAGGAUUUUCAGUUCCCUCAACAGAUGAAGAAAUUUGAAAUUAACUCAUCACACUCUUCCAGGGACUGGCUUAGGAAAUUGGAACUUCCAGGGUCAAGGGCAAAAUUAUGGAGGAAAAACUCUAAGACGGCACAAGAAAGACUAAUUGAGGCAGGGCAAGGUCCCACAGGAAGGGUGUGAGCUCUGGAGCCUCUGAAUCCAGCUCUGCCACUCACCAGCUGUGGCCUAAAGCAAUUUACUAACCUCUCUAAGACUCAGUUCCUCACCUAUACAAGGAAAAUUGUCAUGGUCAUCUUGUAGAAUUGAUGUGGAUACUGAAGAUGUUUUAUAAGCCCUUAGUGUGAAGAUGAGUCCAUAACAGUCACUCAGAGACAAAACAACAAACAAAAUGCUAGUUACAGACAUGAUUCCACAAAGAACAGCAGGGCUUCAUACAUUCAGAGGACAUGUGAAGGUUUCCACUGACUUGAAAGGAAAUCUAAAAUUAUUAAUAAACACAUGGACAGGACAUUCAAUCUGCAGAUCAUCAGGAUAAUUUUUUCAAUAUGAGAAAAGUGCUAUCCAGCAGCUUAUGAGCAGAUGUCAUCCUGGAGUGGUGCCCUUGACACAGGGCAGUCUGCCUUUCAUUGUCUGUUCUCCCUCUCACUCUCUCAGUUAUGGCUUUUAAUAUAUUACGUUCAUCAAACACACCGCAUACUGUAUGGUGGUAUAUCCAUAUACUCUACAGACUUCAUUUUAACUGCAGACGCCCAAGAUUGAGGGCAGCUGUAAUAGGCACUUAAAUUUGCCCCAAUACUUAAGAAAGGGUUAGAUUACUUAAUGCUGCAUCUAAUGGUAGGUUUUGUGACAGAAGUGAUUACUGAAAAUGCAUUUGGGGGUUCUCACCUUCCAGCCCAAAACUGCAUUAAACCAGCAUGGUGCGCUGCAUUUGGUAUUUUACUUGACAAGAUAAAUAUAUCUCUGUAUCAAAGAGAAAGCACCCCCUUUUCCCAUGAAACUGAUUUUAAAGGGGGUAACACUUCUGAGGGAGAGAUACUACAGAAAUCUUGGGAACAUCCAAGACUGCAGAUGUUAAAUAGCAUCAAGGUUGAAAAAACCUCAGUGGUCUACUGAUAGCCUUGAAAUAGGUACCAGUUACACCUUUCUUGACCAUAAAGUUAGUCCAGGUGCUGCUUAAAGAUCUGAAGUAAUAGGGUGACUGUUUAAAAUAAUUUAAGAAUUUCGAAGAGUAAUCACAUGAAGAAAAAAAAACCCAAAGUGAAACAGAGGAUAAGUGAAAAAAAUCGACUCCUAUAGCAAGUUAAAAAUCCCUGGAACUUUCUCACUCCUUUAGGUUGAGCUAAGCCAGAAGUCUUCAGGUUGAGGAAAACCAGGACUAUAAAAGCCAGGGUAGGCUUUUAAAUUAAAUUUACCAAUUUAUGGUUUCCUUUAACAUGAUCAAAGCUAAACUUUCACAGGGAAGCUUUCUCAGUAAUAAAGUCAAGUCAUUCCACCUUCAAAGACGUUUCCAUGUCUACUCAACAGCUUUGAUUGCACAGUACCUGCUUUCUUCAAAAUUAAAUUGCACGUUUGUAAAUUUUGAUCAACAAACUAGUGCUAGUUUCCCAGAUUUCAUGCUCAAUCCUGAAUGACCUAGGGGGAACACUGUGAAGGUAGGGAAAUUUGUAAAGGCUCUGCCUUCUUUGCUUUCCCUUAAAGGCUGGGGUUCACUAUGCUCCAUCUUUCCAUCUUUCACCCUCUUCUUAUCUUACUUUACCGACCCUCUCUGGGUGAUACUGUCCACUGCUCCCUACAUGCUGAUAAUUCCCAAUUCUACCUACUCCUAGCCUCUCUCAUGAGCUUCAGUCUCAUAUCUCUGCUGGGUAUCCUAUUCUCAAAGUCAUCAUGUGCAUUAAAGAGGUCUUCCCUACCAAAUGUACUUCUUGUCCUCCCUUCUCAUUUUCUUUUACUGGUACCAAGAUCCAUCCAAUCACUGAAGCCAGAAAUCAGAACACAGAGGAGACUCCGAAGAUAGUAGCAUUUUACUGCAGUGUGGAAAAUCAGGAAGGCAUUCCAAAUGGCACCAUGUCAUAAUAGAGACACCAAAAUGAGAAAGAGCAUAGCAUGUGUGUUAUUAGUCAGGAUAAGAUAGGCUCUGAUGAG